UACGGAGGGUGCAAGCGUUAUCCGGAUUCACUGGGUUUAAAGGGUGCGUAGGUGGGCAGUUAAGUCAGUGGUGAAAUCUCCGGGCUUAACCCGGAACUGCCAUUGAUACUAUCUGUCUUGAAUAUCGUGGAGGUAAGCGGAAUAUGUCAUGUAGCGGUGAAAUGCUUAGAUAUGACAUAGAACACCAAUUGCGAAGGCAGCUUACUACCCGAAUAUUGACACUGAGGCACGAAAGCGUGGGGAUCAAACAGG
rnacentral:rRNA from 1 species